rnacentral:rRNA from 1 species
CCUACGGGUGGCUGCAGUGAGGAAUAUUGGUCAAUGGACGAGAGUCUGAACCAGCCAAGUAGCGUGAAGGAUGACUGCCCUAUGGGUUGUAAACUUCUUUUAUAUGGGAAUAAAAUGUUCCACGUGUGGGAUUUUGUAUGUACCAUAUGAAUAAGGAUCGGCUAACUCCGUGCCAGCAGCCGCGGUAAUACGGAGGAUCCGAGCGUUAUCCGGAUUUAUUGGGUUUAAAGGGAUAGUAGGUGGAUUGUUAAGUCAGUUGUGAAAGUUUGCGGCUCAACCGUAAAAUUGCAGUUGAAACUGGCAGUCUUGAGUACAGUAGAGGUGGGCGGAAUUCGUGGUGUAGCGGUGAAAUGCUUAGAUAUCACGAAGAACUCCGAUUGCGAAGGCAGUUCACUGGACUGCAACUGACACUGAGGCUCGAAAGUGUGGGUAUCAAACAGGAUUAGAUACCCGUGUAGUC